rnacentral:tRNA from 1 species
GGGCGCAUAGCUCAGUCGGUAGAGCAGCUGACUCUUAAUCAGCGGGUCGUAGGUUCGAGUCCUACUGCGCCCACCA